AUGCUCUCUUUGGCAGCACAUUUACUCCAAUUGGAACAAUACAGAGAUUAGCAUGGCCCCUGCACAGAGAUGACAUGCAAAUUUGUGAUGCAUUCCAUAUUAAA